UAACAUUUGUGUGAACUGUCUGUCACAGGUGGAAAAGGUGUCAGACAGGUGCUGAGUGAAAUUACAGGUUGCAGAUCCAGACAGAGAUAUGGUGUGGACGGAGAGUCAUUGGGAACAGGCUGAAGACUGGAGACUGAACUUCCGUGUGAAGGUUAGCAGGUGAUCGAUGGAUGGAAUGCAGGCAAGUUGCAGCUUACAGUGGGGUUCGGAUAAAGCACCUGCUUUACCACAGCAGAAUGUUUGCUGAUUCCUUCAGAGGUGCGGUGAAUAAGGGUCUAAGCGGCCUUGAAAUGACCUUGCAGUGUAAUUAGAUGGAAGCUUAUCAUCUCCACCGGCAUCCCCUUCCCCAUGUGACCGAGCACAGCCAUUGAUCUGUGGGA